rnacentral:rRNA from 1 species
GUCUAUGGCCAUGCCACCCUGAACAAGCCCGAUCCUGUCUGAUCUUGGAAGCUAAGCAGGGUCGAGCCUGGUUAGUACUUGAAUGGGAGACCACCUAGGAAGACCAGGUGCUGUAGGUG